AUGUGCCCCGUCUCGCGUGGCUCCGUGCUCCUGUGUGGUCACUACAUGUGCCCCGUCUCUGUGCUCCUGUGUGGUCACUACAUGUGCCCCGUCUCUGUGCUCCUGUGUGGUCGCUGCCUGUGCCCCGUCUCUUGUGGCUCUGUGUGGUCACUACAUGUGCCCUGUCUCUCGUGGCUCUGUGUGGUCACUACAUAUGCCCCGUCUCUCGUGGCUCUGUGUGGUCACUACAUACGCCCCGUCUCUCGUGGCUCUGUGUGGUCACUACAUAUGCCCCGUCUCUCGUGGCUCUGUGUGGUCACUACAUACGCCCCGUCUCUCGUGGCUCUGUGUGGUCACUACAUAUGCCCCGUCUCUCGUGGCUCUGUGUCCCUGUGUGGUCGCUGCCUGUGCCCCGUCUGUCGAGGCUCCAUGUUCCUGUGUGGUCACUGCCUGUGCCCCGUCUGUCGAGGCUCCAUGUUCCUGUGUGGUCGCUGCCUGUGCCCCGUCUCUCGUGGCUCCAUGUCCCUGUGUGGUCGCUGCCUGUGCCCCGUCUCUUGUGGCUCCGUGCUCCUGUGUGGUCGCUGCCUGUGCCCCGUCUCUCGUGGCUCCGUGCUCCUGUGUGGUCGCUGCCUGUGCCCCGUCUCUCGUGGCUCUGUGCUCCUGUGUGGUCACUGCUCGUGCCCCGUCUCUGUGCUCCUGUGUGGUCACUGCCUGUGCCCCGUCUCUGUGCUCCUGUGUGGUCGCUGCCUGUGCCCCGUCUCUCGUGGCUCCGUGCUCCUGUGUGGUCACUGCCUGUGCCCCGUCUCUCGUGGCUCUGUGCUCCUGUGUGGUCACUGCUCGUGCCCCGUCUCUGUGCUCCUGUGUGGUCACUGCCUGUGCCCCGUCUCUGUGCUCCUGUGUGGUCGCUGCCUGUGUCCCGUCUCUUGUGGCUCCGUGUUCCUGUGUGGUCACUGCCUGUGCCCCGUCUCUCGUGGCUCUGUGUUCCUGUGUGGUUGCUGCCUGUGCCCCGUCUCUUGUGGCUCCGUGUUCCUGUGUGGUCGCUGCCUGUGCCCCGUCUCUGUGCUCCUGUGUGGUCACUGCCUGUGCCCCGUCUCUGUGCUCCUGUGUGGUCGCUGCCUGUGCCCCGUCUCUUGUGGCUCUGUGUUCCUGUGUGGUCGCUGCCUGUGCCCCGUCUUUGGCUCUCGAGCUCCGGUUCUGGUUUUGCCAGUCCCGCUGCCCCAGCUCUGCUUGGCUGUGUUCUGUGUUGCGCUUACUCCUGCGUGGUUUUUGUUGGUCCUUCUUCUGCUUGCUUUGAGUCAGCUGAUAUUUGAGAAAGAUUCCGAGCAGCUCAGCGGCUAG
rnacentral:lncRNA from 1 species